rnacentral:rRNA from 1 species
CGGGUGAGUAACGCGUGGACAACCUACCCCGCACUGGGGGACAACAGCUGGAAACGGCUGCUAAUACCGCAUAUGCGCACGGUUCCGCAUGGGGCCGCGCGGAAAGCGCAUGCGGUGCGGGAUGGGUCCGCGUCUGAUUAGCUUGUUGGCGGGGUGACGGCCCACCAAGGCGACGAUCAGUAGCCGGCCUGAGAGGGUGGACGGCCACAUUGGGACUGAGACACGGCCCAGACUCCUACGGAAGGCAGCAG